GAUUAGGUAGUUGGUGAGGUAAAGGCUCACCAAGCCUUCGAUCUGUAGCUGGUCUGAGAGGACGACCAGCCACACUGGGACUGAGACACGGCCCAGACUCCUACGGGAGGCAGCAGUGGGGAAUUUUGGACAAUGGGCGAAAGCCUGAUCCAGCCAUGCCGCGUGCAGG
rnacentral:rRNA from 1 species